rnacentral:misc_RNA from 1 species
GAUGAAGAACGCAGCGAAAUGCGCUAAGUAGUGUGAAUUGCAGAAUUCAGUGAAUCAUCGAAUCUUUGAACGCACAUUGCGCCCUUUGGUAUUCCAAAGGGCAUGCCUGUUCGAGCGUCAUUUGUACCCUCAAGCUUUGCUUGGUGUUGGGCGUCUUGUCUCUAGCUUUGCUGGAGACUCGCCUUAAAGUAAUUGGCAGCCGGCCUACUGGUUUCGGAGCGCAGCACAAGUCGCACUCUCUAUCAGCAAAGGUCUAGCAUCCAUUAAGCCUUUUUUUCAACUUUUGACCUCGGAUCAGGUAGGGAUAACCGCUGAACUUAAGCAUAUCAAUAAGCGGAGGA